rnacentral:rRNA from 1 species
UACGUAGGGGGCAAGCGUUGUCCGGAUUUAUUGGGCGUAAAGAGCGUGUAGGCGGCCAAGCAGAUCCGCUGUGAAAACUCGAGGCUCAACCUCGAGACGUCGGUGGAAACCGUUUGGCUAGAGUCCGGAAGAGGAGAGUGGAAUUCCCGGUGUAGCGGUGAAAUGCGCAGAUAUCGGGAAGAACACCCGUGGCGAAGGCGGCUCUCUGGGACGGUACUGACGCUGAGACGCGAAGGCUCGGGGAGCGAACGGG